rnacentral:lncRNA from 1 species
CCGGAGCCUGAGAGUGGCAAUGCUGUGGAGAAACCAGCAAGGGCAUUAACUUCCCCUGGGGAAAAUGUGUACAAUCGUAUCAACAAAUCCAUGGAGAUAUGACAAUCACCAGGUGAGUCUGGGUCAACCAGCGUUCUCCAAGAGAGCAACCUGAUUCUGGAGCAACGGGCGCAGCACUGUGCGCAGGGUUUCCAGACAGCAGUGAUCCUCAGUAGCAGAGAUGCGGUGGGAAUAUUAUGUUGCAUCUGCUUCUGACUGCUUCCCAAGCCUUGAUUAUGACACAGAGGAGAAGACAACUUAGCCAUAGUGCCUGGCAAGGCACUGCGUCAGGUCCUGAAGGUACAAGAGUGAACAAGACUGAUAUAUUCCUUCUCCUCAUGAGAAGCAGAUGUGAAACAAAGAAUCCUGGAGGUCAGAAGUCCAAAAUCAAGAAGUUGGCCAGGUUGUGCUCCCCACGAAGGCUCAAGGACGAUUAGCCCUGAGCUAACAUCUGCUGCCAAUCUUCCUCUUUUUCUGUAUGUGAGCUGCCACUGAUAUCAGCAUGGCCACUGAUAGACAUCAGAGCUCCUGGUUCUCGUGCCUUUGGACUCCAGACUAAUACCAGUGGCCCUCCCAGUUCUCAGUCCUUCAGCAUUGGACUGAACGAUACCACCAGCUUUCCUGGUUCUCCAGCUUGCAGAUGGCAGACUGUGGGACUUUGUGGCCUCCACAACCAGCCCCCGGUACACUGUUGUAUAUUCUUCGUUGUGGGUCCUUCUAGUUGUGGCAUGUGGGACGCUGCCUCAGCGUGGUUUGAUGAGCAGUGCCAUAUCCGCGCCCAGGAUUCGAACCAACGAAACACUGGGCCACCUGCAGCAGAGCGCUGGAACUUAACCGCUCGGCCACGGGGCCAGCCCCUCAACAAUUUUUAAUAAAUGAAUAUCUUACAUUGGCUUUAUAACCA